rnacentral:rRNA from 1 species
AUUGCUUAAUAGCUAGCCCACCCAACAAAACCAACAUUACCCUAUUUAUACCCCCUAAUACACUCCAAUUUAAAAAUAAAUCAUUCUCCCCCCUAAGUACGGGCGACGGAAAAGGAUCUAAGAGCGAUAGAGAAAGUACCGCAAGGGAAAACUGAAAGAGAAAUGAAACAACCCAGUAAAGCCCCAGAAAGCAGAGACACACCCUCGUACUUU